UUUUUUCAACCAGAAGACGGCCUAUCAGAGACUGAAAAUCAGCUUAAUGAAAUAGAGUGUGAAGACAAGAUUAGAGAAAAAAGAAUAAAAAAGAAUGAACAAAGCCUCCAAAAAAUAUGGGACUAUGUAAAA